CGCGGCCUAUCAGCUUGUUGGUGAGGUAACGGCUCACCAAGGCGACGACGGGUAGCCGGCCUGAGAGGGUGACCGGCCACACUGGGACUGAGACACGGCCCAGACUCCUACGGGAGGCAGCAGUGGGGAAUAUUGCACAAUGGGCGCAAGCCUGAUGCAGCGACGCCGCGUGAGGGAUGACGGCCUUCGGGUUGUAAACCUCUUUCAGCCGGGGAGAAGCGAAAGUGACGGUACCUGCAGAAGAAGCGCCGGCUAACUACGUGCCAGCAGCCGCGGUAAUACGUAGGGCGCGAGCGUUGUCCGGAAUUAUUGGGCGUAAAGAGCUUGUAGGCGGUUUGUCGCGUCUGCUGUGAAAGCCCGGGGCUUAACCCCGGGUUUGCAGUGGGUACGGGCAGACUAGAGUGCAGUAGGGGAGACUGGAAUUCCUGGUGUAGCGGUGAAAUGCGCAGAUAUCAGGAGGAACACCAAUGGCGAAGGCAGGUCUCUGGGCUGUAACUGACGCUGAGAAGCGAAAGCAUGGGGAGCGAACAGGAUUAGAUACCCUGGUAGUCCAUGCCGUAAACGUUGGGCACUAGGUGUGGGGAACAUUCCACGUUUUCCGCGCCGUAGCUAACGCAUUAAGUGCCCCGCCUGGGGAGUACGG
rnacentral:rRNA from 1 species